GACGAACGCUGGCGGCGUGCUUAACACAUGCAAGUCGAGCGGUAAGGCCCUUUCGGGGGUACACGAGCGGCGAACGGGUGAGUAACACGUGGGUGACCUGCCCUUAGCUCUGGGAUAAGCCUGGGAAACUGGGUCUAAUACCGGAUAUGACUCCAUGACGCAUGUUGUGGGGUGGAAAGCCUUGUGCGGCUAGGGAUGGGCCCGCGGCCUAUCAGCUUGUUGGUGGGGUGANGGCCUACCAAGGCGACGACGGGUAGCCGGCCUGAGAGGGCGACCGGCCACACUGGGACUGAGACACGGCCCAGACUCCUACGGGAGGCAGCAGUGGGGAAUCUUGCGCAAUGGGCGAAAGCCUGACGCAGCGACGCCGCGUGGGGAUGAC
rnacentral:rRNA from 1 species